rnacentral:rRNA from 1 species
UUAGAGUUUGAUCAUGGCUCAGGAUGAUUGCUGGCGGCGUGCCUAACACAUGCAAGUCGAACGGAUUUAUAACGAACCCUAGAGGAUUAUAAGUAAGUGGCGGACGGGUGAGUAACGCGUGAAAAACCUGCCGUAUACUGGGGGAUAACACUUAUAAAUAGGCGCUAAUACCGCAUAAGCGCACAGCUUCCCAUGAAGCAGUGUGAAAAACUCUGGUGGUAUACGAUGGCUCCGCGUCUGAUUAACUAGUCGGUGAGGAAAAAACCCACCAAGGCAACGAUCACCUGCUGGGCCUGAGAGGGUGACCGGCCACAUUGAGACUGAGACACCGCCCCAAACUCUUACGGGAGGCAGCAGUGGGGUAUAUUGUCAAUGCUGGAAACCCUGAUCCUGUGACGCCGCGUGAGUGAAGAAGUAUUUCGGUAUGUAAAGCUGUAUCAAGCUGGGAAGAAAGUGACAGUACCUGAGUAAGAAGCCCCGGCUAACUACGUGCCAGCAGCCGCGGUAAUACGUAGGGGGCAAGCGUUAUCCGGAUUCACUGGGCGUAAAGGGAGCGCAGGCGGCACGGCAAGUCUGGUGUGAAAACCCGGGGCUCAACCCCGGGACUGCAUUGGAAACUGCCCGGCUAGAGUGCUGGAGAGGUAAGCGGAAUUCCUAGUGUAGCGGUGAAAUGCGUAGAUAUUAGGAGGAACACCAGUGGCGAAGGCGGCUUACUGGACAGUAACUGACGUUGAGGCUCGAAAGCGUGGGGAGCAAACAGGAUUAGAUACCCUGGUAGUCCACGCCGUAAACGAUGAAUAUUAGGUGUUGGUGGGCAAAGCCCAUCGGUGCCGCCGCCAACGCAGGUAAGUAUUCCACCUGGGGAGUACGUUCGCAAGAAUGAAAUUCAAAGGAAUUGACGGGGACCCGCACAAGCGGUGGAGCAUGUGGUUUUAAUUCGAAGCAACGCGAAGAACCUUAUCAGGUCUUGACAUCGGGGCGGCAGGCUCGUAACGGAGCCGUUCCUUCGGGACGCCCCAGACAGGUGGUGCAUGGUUGUCGUCAGCUCGUGUCGUGAGAUGUUGGGUUAAGUCCCGCAACGAGCGCAACCCUUAUCCUAAGUAGCCAGCGGGUAAAGCUGGGCACUCUUGGGAGACUGCCAGGGAUAACCUGGAGGAAGGUGGGGAUGACGUCAAAUCAUCAUGCCCCAUAUGGCCUGGGCUACACACGUGCUACAAUGGCGCAGACAGAGGGAGGCGAAGCCGCGAGGCGGAGCAAACCCCAGAAAUGGCGCCCCAGUUCGGACUGCAGCCUGCAACCCGGCUGCACGAAGCCGGAAUCGCUAGUAAUCGCAGAUCAGAAUGCUGCGGUGAAUACGUUCCCGGGUCUUGCACACACCGCCCGUCA